GUGGGGAAUUUUGGACAAUGGGCGCAAGCCUGAUCCAGCAAUGCCGCGUGCAGGAAGAAGGCCUUCGGGUUGUAAACUGCUUUUGUACGGAACGAAACGGUCCUGGCUAAUAUCCGGGGCUAAUGACGGUACCGUAAGAAUAAGCACCGGCUAACUACGUGCCAGCAGCCGCGGUAAUACGUAGGGUGCGAGCGUUAAUCGGAAUUACUGGGCGUAAAGCGUGCGCAGGCGGUGCUGUAAGACAGGCGUGAAAUCCCCGGGCUCAACCUGGGAAUUGCGCUUGUGACUGCAGUGCUGGAGUGCGGCAGAGGGGGAUGGAAUUCCGCGUGUAGCAGUGAAAUGCGUAGAUAUGCGGAGGAACACCGAUGGCGAAGGCAAUCCCCUGGGCCUGCACUGACGCUCAUGCACGAAAGCGUGGGGAGCAAACAGGAUUAGAUACCCGAGUAGUCC
rnacentral:rRNA from 1 species